AGAUCCGUGUCCGAGGGUUCUGGCCCGGGCGCAUGUCAGAGGAGAGUAGCCCAAUUCAGGGUCCUGUAAGAAAACUGAACCGGAUCCCCGCCGGAGAAGAAAAUCCAGUUCGGGGGUUCCUGUUUGAGGGGAGAGGUCAGGUCUCUGGGUCCCCGAGUGAAGAAACAAGCUAGGUCGACAUUCUUGUCUGAUGGAGACACGGUGAACCCGGAGCCCGUGGAGUUACCUCAUACCCUCACUCACCGAGGAGGCCGUGACGUCCAAAGGCUUUUUCCUACGGUCCAUGGUCGUGGCAGAGGGUCCCGGUCCAGGAAGGACCCUUUCUACCCGACACAGGCCUCGUAAGCCUACCUCCGUCGCAACCGGAAGUGUCUUCGACAGCGACACUGAGUUUGCGUGAGUUUGCGACGCGAGUUUGUCAGCUCAGCGCCAUCUUGAGAAGGUCAGAGUGUGGUGCGUAUUACGUUCACCAUCAUUUUGGAAAGGUCAUAGAGUGCGGAGGUUGACGCUAACUGCUAAGGUCAUCUUGAGGGCGGAAGGUAACAAGGAUUGGUGUGGGCGCCAUCUUGAGAAGGGCGGAAUAAAGCUUUUGAUUGCGAUGGACGCCAUAUUGGGUGGGGCGGAUGUGGGGUUGGCGACAAAGAUAACGCCAUCUUGGGGAAGGCUGACGCUUAAGUAAGUGAACUCGAGCGUCUCGGGAAAGGUGGAUUGGGAGGACCGGAAGAAUCUUAACUGCAAUUCCAGGACCUGCUGCCUGGCACUUUUCACACGUUAAAUAGUUGGUUCUUAAAAGAGCGUACGAGAUAAGGAUUAUUAUAUUAAUCUUAGUAGAAAUAACAAGAAUAAUAGCUAACAUUAAUGUAGUGCUUAUUAUGGGCCACUUUACAUAUUUCAGCUCUUAAGAACGUGAACUCCUGGGCCGGGCGCGGUGGCUCACGCCUGUAAUCCCAGCACUUUGGGAGGCUGAGGCGGGUGGAUCAGGAGGUCAGGAGUUUGAGACCAGCCUGACCAACAUGGUGAAACCCCGUCUCUGCUGAAAAUACAAGAAAAAAAAAAAAUUAGCCGAGCGUGGUGGUGCGCGCCUGUAUUCCCAGCUACUCAGGAGGCUGAGGCAGAAGAAUCGCUUGAACCUGGGAGGUGGAGGUUGCAGUGAGUCGAGAUCAAAAAAAAAAAAAACAAAGAACACGUGAACUCGAAAGCUGACUUUCUGGGUUGGAAUCGCUCUUCACGGCUUACUGCUUGUGUGACCUUGGGCAAGUUACUUAACUUCCGUGUGCCUCAGUUUCCAAAGGGGGAUAUAAUUUUAUUUACCUAAUGGGUCUUAGUGAGGAUUAGAUGAGUUAAAUGAGCUAGUCUUGAUAAAAAUGUUAAUGAUUAUGGUAGACAGACCAAUCACCCUCACCCCGACUCCCAGAUGUCUACCUUCUAAUCCCCAGAAUCUGGGUAUAUGGUGACCUUUAUAUAGCAAAAGAGAAUUGGCAGAGAUGAUGAAAUUAAAGCGAUUGAGAUGGGGAGCUAGCCUGGAUUGUGCAGGUGGGUCCCCUAUCAUCAAAACCAUCCUUAUAAGGGGUAGACAGGAUGGCCAGAGUCAGACAGAGAUCAGAGAUGCUUUGAAGAGGGAGAGUGGGACCACAUGCCUAGGUAUGCAGGAGGCCGCUAGAAAAAGCAAAGAAAUGAGCCCUCCUCCAGAGUCUCCAGAAGGAAUGCAGCAUUGCUGACACGGUGAUUUUAGUCUUGUAACACUCAUCUCAAACUUCUGACUUCCAGAACUCUACCAGAAUACGUUUGUGUUGUUUUAAGCCACCAAACUUGUGGCAAUUUGUUACAGCAGCAAGACGAAAGUGAUCAUAAUGAUUGUAACAGUGGCAUUUAGUAUAUGUGGGGCAUGUGUAUGACUCUUUGCAUAGAUUAUAUUAUAUAAUCCUUGCAAGAAUCCUAGAAGCGGACCUAUUAUCCACCAUAUUAGAGAGAAGAAAAAUGAGACUCAUCACAUCCUCAUCUCAUCUGUCUUUAUGGAGAAAAUGGGAAAAGGGAAAAGGAGAGGGGAAUUGAGGCAGUUGACUGUGUUCAGUCUUAUUUAUUUAUUUUCAUUUGUUUAUUUCUCCAAGUCCGCCAGUCUCUGAAAUUAGAACAGUAA
rnacentral:lncRNA from 1 species